UGUGUGUGUGUGUGUGUGUGUGUGUGUGUGUGUGUGUGUGUGUGUGUGUGUGUGUGUGGUGUGUGUGUGUGUGUGUGUGUGUGUGUGUGUGUGUGUGAAAUCGGCAAAAGAAGAGACGUAGAAAGAAUACGAAAUGAGGUUUCCUUCUGUUCGGCGGAGAGAUCUCCCUUUCACACGGGAUAAAAGGCAGGCGCCCCCUCCCCCCUCUCCGUAUCAACAAGAUCGCGACGUCAAAACGUCUUUCAAACGGGUAAAAGCGUGCAGCGAGGGGGAAAGAGCGUCGCGAGAGGAGAGGAUAGGAAUAGGGAAACGAACGCGGUAGAGACAACAAUUAUCUUAGCCAAAGGCAAAGAGAAAGGUUUCUAUCUCGUCGUGGCGAGUCACGAGAGAGGUGAACCGUGACGAUCUCUUUCUCGAACGCGCGGAAUCGUCGAGGUGAAAAAGAAAGAAAAAAAAGUCAAGAGAUUCUUUUUUUCUUUUCUCACGAACGAUUCGUUUUUUGGAAUAAAAAAAAGAAAAUUCUGUUUUUCGUUAACUGGAUUAAUUGUUACGAUACAAUAUUUGAUACGACAAGUACAGUAACGAUCCUAAUUUCACGGUAUAAAGAAUAUAAAGAUAGGACUGAGGGACGUCGUCUAAUUUAUCCCUGGCAAGGAUUCAAUGAAUGGUAUUAUAAAUUUCGCGGUAUGGUAUGUAAUUGUAAAUGUGUUUGUACUUGGCCUAGAAAGGUGUUUGAAAAAUAAAUCGAUCGAUCGAGCGAUCCCUCUCUUUGAAAUCGAUCGAUGCAGGCAAAUUUGUUGUGCUGGCGAGCGAAUCCGCUCGAAAAAUUUUAUAACAGAAAGCCAUUUUUGUGAAUGGAACAUUAUCGAAGUAUUCGUAUUUUUUUCUAAGACAAUAAGCAAAUUUUUAAACUUAAAUUUUAUCCUCCCCAUUUGAUGAAUUUUUUUAACCGUUUAAUAAAAUAUUAUCUCUUUCACUCGAUCGAAGCGAAAAAUUCCAAGGAGAAUUAUGAAGAAGAUAUUACUUCAUGCCUCUGUACAGUCACGAAACAACGUCCUCGUUCUCUUCUUCUUAACGAGCUUCUUAACGUCACGAACGUAACUAUAACCAAGUAUCGCGGCAGUUAUUCUCUCAAAAGAAACUCGUAUAUGUAUAUAAUAGUACAUAUAUGCACACGUGCUUCUUAGCAUAUGGACUGUGAAACGGUAGGCUAAUCGUUUGCAAGUUUGCAACUCACCAUCUCAACUAUAAACAAAUGUAUACAUAAUAACUAUAACAGUUUUUUUGCAUGCCAAUUGAUCAAUAUUACGUUAUAUUUCAUUUUAUAGUAUGAAAAUUUGAUUGUGAUUGAAAAUGAAAUAAAAAAAAAUACUCUUUGUGGAUCCAAGUCGACCUAACCUAAAUCGAAGAAGAUGGUCGACAAAGUUUCGAGCAUCGUAAAUACAACGCAGGGAGUAACGUGUUACAUGCAAGAUUAAACGGAAGAUUAAUUCUGUGUUCGAUGCUUGCACACGUGAAACGUCUUGCUAUCUGUUCGAUGGAUCGUAGAUUUCUGUGAAACGUUACGCUGAAUUAAUUUGAUCCAGGUAUCAUCACUAUAAAUAACAGACCACUCGAAUUCGCCAGAGAUUCUAACAGUAAUUACCAUCAAAGAGGAUCUUUGAAGUUUGUUCGAGCGUUUGAGAAAUCGUUUGAUGCGGUGUUAAUUGGAAUCAAAGUUUUCGCCAAGUCUUAAGAAUCGUUUACGAGGAUUAAUUUUAAUCUCACCGCGACCCAUUUUCUUUUCAAAUUGUCGUAUAAGUAAUGUGGAGCAAUUACGCGAAGAUGCGUGACCGUGUAAAUUAAUUAUUUCUCCCGAUCAAUAAUAUUUCUGUUUACUUUCCAUUUUCUACGUCGUAUUAAAUUGCUCGUUCCUUUUUUCUUUUCUAUUUUAACAUUUUUUCCCCCCUGAUUUUUAAUAUCCUUUAAUAAAAAUAAAAAGAAAAAAUAUUUAUCAAUAAAAGAAAAACAAUUGCAAUUUUUCUUAAAGUUCUUCUUUUGUUUUUUUAUUAGAGAUUAAAAUCGCAUAGAAGACCAUAAACCAAAUAAAGCAUUCUAAAAAGAUAAAAAGAGGGAAAGAAAUUUUGAAACGAGUAACAAUAUUCUCGACUGAUUCAUCCUCCACGCAAAGUGUAAAACAUUUUCGAAAGAAGAGCGCGGGAGCAUUUAUUUCGAACGAUACUUGUCUAUUUGUGGCUAAGCCGUCCCUGAGCGCCGGUUACGUCACCACGGCCACGUGACUCGUUGAAUCUCAUAAUGGUCCAUAUUCGCCUCCCACGUAUCGAUGCGAAACGACGAUCCAUCAUCGAUUCCGUACACCUGCUUGCUUCUUCCGAUCGUUUGAUCGAAAGAAAUGGGUCGAAAUCUGAUUUUGAGAUUUCCGAUUUACGCUAAAACUGGGUUUAGAAAAUAUCGAAACACGGAUACCUUUCUGAGGAAGAUUCAAAAGUUUUUUUAAGAAAUCUUAAAGUUUCAAGUAAAUCCUUAAUUAAAAUUAUCCAACGAUUCAAUAUAUCUUUUACUUACUCUUUAUAUAAUGCAAUUUUUCACGAACAUAUUUACGUUCUCCUUUGUUUAACGAGCAACGGAUAACCUAACCUAAAAAAAUCUUUUACAUCGAAACGAAGCGAGAAGAAAUUCGAGUGGAAUGAUUUUAAAAGUGUGUGUUUAUGUUAUUUAUUUAAAUUAUUUUUAUUCGCUAUAAAACGAUAUAAAUGAUAUAUUUCGUGUUUUUAUGCGUGAUAUUUAGAUUCGAUAUUUCAAAAAUUAGAUAUUUUUCUAACCGUUCAAUCGUUUAAAUUGUAGACACUAUUUUAGGAACACACGGCUUGCAAGACUUGGUUUCCACAUGCUCUCGACACUGUUUGAAUGAUUUAUAACAUUUAACCAACAUAGACCUUGACGGCUAACCUUCUCCGCAUUAUUUUAAAAGCUUCCGAUAGAUUUCUGAUACUUGCACGCUUCGCUUCUAAACGCCUGUAUGUUAAUAGUAUAUUUCAUAUUUCAUGGAAACUCAAGAAAGUUGCACGAAAGUUAUAUUAUUUCUCCUCUCAUUAUACACGUAAGAUUAUAUAACACAAAAUUUUUCUUUACAAAGUUGGCAAUCGUGAAAUAUCAUGAAAGCAAUUGUAUAUCCAAUUUAAAUUUAUUUUAAUGAAAAUUUUAAAUCUAUUUGCACGAGAAUAGAAUUGAUGAAAAUAUAUGAUAAAAAUGUAUUGAAUUUUUGGAAGCAAACGAUUCAUGCAUAUUCGAAACGAAACCGUACGACCAUCUAUAUAGCUGCCAUAGUACAUGCCAGUGUUUUUCAACCUUUAUUGACGUGAUUCGAGCAACUUGCGAUCUCCUUCGAUGUCAGUUUGCGAUCCACAGGUUGGGAAUCACUGGUGUAUACAAAAGUUUACGCUACGCCUGGAGAGAAGCCAAACGAAAAACGCAAAAAUGCAAAUCUGUCUUUGUGCAUGGCCACCUACCGAAGUUUGAUCACCGUUUUGUGAUCCGGUGGAUAUACAUUCCGGUCGAUUAUGUCCAUUAUCCACAAUUUACCGAAAAUGAAACGAAAAGAAGUUGGAGAGGAACGGAUUCGAUACGUCGGCUGCAACGAGGUUAGAAAACUUACUGCGCAAAAUAUUAUCGCGGGAUCAACGCAAGCUCCUCACCUUUUCCACACGUUGCAAUUGCAAUUUAGUUCACGAUUCCGAGUGGGGACACACUGCGACGUGUCAUUGUCAAGGAUAUACAUUGACGCAACAAACAUGUCCUCCCUAACCUGACCAAUCAUCGCUUUUGCGAGAGAAGAGGAUUUAUUUUAACGAUCUUUUAAAUUCCAUACGAGAGAAUAUACUUAUAUGUGAGUAUACUCGAGUCAUGUAUUGAUGUAUCUUCUUCGAAUAAAUUUAAAUUCUCCGUAGAUUUAAAAAUAUGAAAAAUGUUAUUAUAGAAUCGAAACGCUAUUGUAACGUAUUACGAUAUAUGCAUGCGUAAUCGACACUCGACGCAAUUUAUGCUCAUUCUAGGUUAUGUCAUUUAUAUCACGAAUCGUUUGAAGUGUUUUUUAAUACCCAACGUGAUUAAAUUACAAAUAUUGUAACACGUCGUAAUACAGUAUCGAUUGUUUUUAAUGAGAUUUGAAAAACUUCUCUAUUAAUCGGAAAUGCAAAGUAUAAUACGGUAUUGAAAGGAACGUUUUUUGCUGGGUGACGCGGUAUCACCAAGUAUUUAACGAGAUUACAGGAAGGAACGUGUUCUUUGUCACUGCAACAAGUUGUGUUAAACGGUCACCCAUUAUGCAAUGUAAUAUCGUUCGACUAAUGACCGACAUAUGUCAUUCAUUUACAUAAUGAUUGAUAGAUGAAAAAUUAUUAUAUAUCAUAUCAUAUCAGUGUCUAACCAAUUUCGUGUUUCGAUAAAAUUAUUAUUAAUCUUUUAAAAUAAUUAUAAAUUUUUAAAAUUGUAAUUCAAAUAAAUAACAGUAUAAAAUAACUAAUUUAUUCAAUUUAUUCACAAAAGGAUCUGAUACAAACAAACUGAAGAAUACAUGCAGAAUAUAAUGCUAAAUAAGUAUUUAUCUUUUGAUUUAAUCUAAUCUUGCGCAAUUGAAGUCACUUUUUGAAUUGGACUCGAUUCGAAUCUCGUUUUAACGGAAAACAGAGGAUUAUUUAAUCGAUCCGUUUUACGAGCGCAUAAAAUUCUUUGUUUCUUUACUUAAACACGCCUCGUCCCUUUAUUUAUUUGAAAUUCUCCUAAAAAAAGAUACUCGAAUACAGAACAAAUGAAUGAAAGUGCGCCGACAAAUAAGCAAAUUUUUCGUUCGAUCAUCGAUCGAUAAAUAAAUAAAAAUCUGAGAAAAUUAUGAAAUUUUGCACGACGUGAACUUCGAAUCUGUAGAAUUUUAGUUGAGCUUUAUUUUUCUGUCGAUGAAAUUUUUCGAACGGAGGGGAAAGAAAAAAAAAAUUCCCCAAGGUGGCAAACGAGGAGGGUUCUCCAGAAUUUAUGUUGGAGGGUGAACAAGCACGACCCCGCUGUAAUUCCUGAACCUUCUCUUCGAGGUAGAAAAUUCGGAGGUUCAAAACGAAUGAAAGAUCUUAAAUCUUUGGAAUCGUUAUAUAAAUUUUAUUCGUUAAUUUUAAUUUUAUAUUUCACAAGAAGGGAGAAUUGAGUUGAAUCCUGGAAAAUCGUAUUGUAAAAAAA
rnacentral:lncRNA from 1 species